rnacentral:rRNA from 1 species
GACGAACGCUGGCGGCAUGCCUAACACAUGCAAGUCGAACGAUACCUGCUGGUCUUUGUGCCCACUGGUUCGUAACCCGUGGGGACCUUCCCUUUGGGUGGGAAUAACUCCCCGCAAGGGGUGCUAAUUCCGGAUAAUUUCUUCGAACCAAAGAUUUAUCUCCUUUGAAUGGGCCCGCGUUGGAUUAGCUAGUUGGUAGGUUAAAAGCCUACCGAGGAGAAGAUCCAUAGCUGGUCUGAGAGGAAGAUCAGCAACACUGGGAGUGUGACACGGCCCAGACUCACGGGGGAGGAAGAAGGGGGGAAUAAGGGACGAUGGGAGAAAGACGGAGCCAGAAAGGCCGCGUAAGUGAUGAAGGAGUGAGGGUUGUAAAGCUCUUUUAACAGGGAAGAAAAUGACAGUACCGGGAGAAUAAGCUACGGCUAACUCCGUG